CGUGUAGGCGGCAUGGCAAGCGGCGUGUGAAAUCCCGGAGCUCAACUCCGGAACUGCAUGCCGAACUGCCGUGCUAGAGGACAGGAGGGGGAUGUGGAACUCUAGGUGUAGCGGUGAAAUGCGUAGAUAUCUAGAGGAACGCCGGUGGCGAAAGCGACAUCCUGGCCUGUAUCUGACGCUGAGGCGCGAAAGCGUGGGUAGCAAACA
rnacentral:rRNA from 1 species